rnacentral:rRNA from 1 species
AUGAAGGCGUACACAGCUGCCGAGGACAAGCUUCUUUGCGAGUGUUGGCGAGACAUUGGACAAGACCCAAAGACGGGCACCGAGCAAAAGCAUUCAACCUUUUGGACUCGUGUGCACCGAGAGUUUCAUGAGCGCAAGAAGUUUCCACCUUACCAAUUUGUGAGCACGCGCGGGUGGGUCUCCAUUUCCAAGCGGUGGAGGGUGAUCCAACAAGAGUGCAACAAGUUUUGCGCCACCCUUGAGAGCGUCAAGGCCCGCCCCGUGAGCAGCAUCGGCAUGCAAGACAUGGUAUGA